AUCCUGCUCACUACUGUGCAGGACUGGUCCCGAAAUUGCUACUGCGCAGACUCAAGACCCAAGAUGUCAGCGGCGACACUGGCGGCUUCAUUUUUUACCAAUGGAAGAGAGCAAGCUCUCCAGGUGCUCCUUUUAGAACCAGGACAAAAAAAGUUAUGUGCACCUCUGAUUAUAGGCUUAUUGUUACAGUUGCGUCCCCUCUACUGCCGUAACAUCAUCGUAAAUGUGAUACAAACACACACACAACAUGGAGCAACAUAGCAUAUUAAUGGAAUGUAGCCACAAAAUCAAAAUUGACAGCCACAACUACAUUUUCCACUACCUCUCUCACAUGACAGGUUCUGUACAAACACCCGUGUCAUCAGUAUCAGCUCUCCGCGGACAGAACAUUUAAGCCAUGACGCCUAUAUUUUUGGUGCGUUUUGGAUGCGGAGCCAUGCGCAAAGUUACAAAAAUGCCAUGCAGACAUAGGCAUGGUGGUGUGCUCUGCAUUUUUGUAACUUUGCACAUGACUUCACAUCCGAAACCCCAUCCCAUUACUCCUCCCCCAAAAGUGAGCUGUGCUGAACUGGGUUAUACUAUGCAGUGGAAAAGCGCCAAAAGUGUCCUACUUCGUGGCUUGAAGGAUUUAGCAGUUUCAGCGUUGGACUUGUAAUUCUGCGUGUUUGGCUUCUUUAGCACUUGCUGUUUGAAAGUCAUUGCUUGCAACAGAUUGAGCGACUGUCAUUCUACAUUUCUGUUUGCAUUGCUUUGCUUGCAUUUUGAAUCCUUCGCAAUAAUAACUAUGCAAAAAGUUUUACAUUUGAACUGUAGUUGUAGAUUUAAAUUUGUUUUUCCUUGAUAUAAUGUAUUUAUAUAGAUUUUUACAAUUAUUUAUCAUGCAGUGCUUCAUAUAUGAGAAAGACAACGCUUGAAGAACCACACAACACUCAUAUUAAUGUAUGUGUCAUAUUAAUAAAAAUAAACAAGUCUUUGCACUUCAUUUAUAUUUAAUUGAGUGAUAUGUAACUUCACAAUGGUGGAUUCUUUAACUAUUACAUGAAUAUGUGCAUUGUGAUUUCGAUUUAUUGACCAUAGUUAUGUGUUAGGAAUAGUGGAGAAAAUCAUUUACUAAAAAAGACAAAGGUGCCAGAUCUUUCAUUUACUUUAAAUGCAAUAAAAUUAUAGAACAAUUGUAAGCAGCUUUAAUGGAAUCUAUGUAAUAUAGUCAGUAAAGCAUACUAAGUAGUUUAUAAAUUAAGAAAUUCUUAAUAUUAGAUACUAUAAAUUACGAUUUUCAUUAGUAAAGCCAUAGCAAAAACAGCAUUUUUACUUUGAUGUUGCAUAAAAGGGUAACUCUUAUGGUUAAAUGUGUAUGGGUUUAUAUUAAAGCUUCGAGUGGUUUCACGUCCCCGGAAGGUCCGCCAGCGAACGUUGUCUAGCGGACCAUAUGCGGACGUCACCAGAAGGUCCGCCAGAAAACGGUUUUUAGCGGACUUUGUGCGGACGUCCCCGGAAUGUCCGC